AACCGAGUCUGAAUAGGGCGACUAGUUGCAUGCUGUAGACCCGAAACCGGGUGACCUAUCCAUGGCCAGGUUGAAGCGAGAGUAAAAUCUCGGAGGACCGAACCACGUUGGUGUUGAAAAACCAUGGGAUGAGCUGUGGAUAGCGGAGAAAUUCCAAUCGAACUCGGAGAUAGCUGGUUCUCCUCGAAAUAGCUUUAGGGCUAGCGUCGGAUAUGAGUAAUGGAGGUAGAGCACUGAAUGGGCUAGGGGCAUAGCGCUUACCGAACCUUAUCAAACUCCGAAUGCCAUAUACUAUUAAGUCCGGCAGUCAGACUGCGAAUGAUAAGAUCCGUGGUCAAAAGGGAAACAGCCCAGAUCGUCAGCUAAGGUCCCAAAGUGUAAGUUAAGUGGAAAAAGGAUGUGGGAUUUCUAAGACAACUAGGUGUUGGCUUAGAAGCAGCCACUCAUUUAAAGAGUGCGUAAUAGCUCACUAGUCGAGAGAUCCUGCGCCGAAAAUGUUCGGGGCUCAAACUUACCCACCGAAGCUACGGGCUUAAGUUAAACUUAAGCGGUAGAGGAGCGUCGUAAUCGGGCUGAAGUCGUACCGGAAGGAGCGGUGGACUGAUUACGAGUGAGAAGUUGGCAUUAGUAGCGAGAUGUGAGUGAGAAUCUCACAGGCCGAAAACCUAAGGUUUCCUCAGGAAGGCUCGUCCGCUGAGGGUUAGUCGGGACCUAAGCCGAGGCCGAAAGGCGUAGGUGAUGGACAAUCGGUUGAUAUUCCGAUACCACUAUUAAUCGUUAAAACCGAAGGCGUAACGCAGGAGGAUAGGAUGUGCUAGCUAUUGGAUGCUAGUCUAAGCACUUAGGGAGUUCAGCAAGGCAAAUCCGGCUGAACAAUUCUGAGGUGUGAUGGGGAAGGAACUACGGUUCCGAAGUAUCUGAUUCCACGCUGCCAAGAAAAGCGUCUAGGGAGAGAGGUAGUGCCCGUACCGCAAACCGACACAGGUAGGUGAGGAGAGAAUCCUAAGGCCGGCGGAAGAAUCACAGUUAAGGAACUCGGCAAAUUGACCCCGUAACUUAGGGAGAAGGGGUGCCUACGCAAGUAGGCCGCAGAGAAUAGGCCCAAGCAACUGUUUAGCAAAAACACAGGUCUCUGCUAAAGCGAAAGCUGAUGUAUAGGGGCUGACGCCUGCCCGGUGCUGGAAGGUUAAGGGGAAUACUUAGCGCAAGCGAAGGUAUGAACUUAAGCCCCAGUAAACGGCGGCCGUAACUAUAACGGUCCUAAGGUAGCGAAAUUCCUUGUCAGGUAAGUUCUGACCCGCACGAAUGGCGUAAUGACUUGGGCACUGUCUCAACUGUGAAUCCGGCGAAGUUGUAGUACGAGUGAAGAUGCUCGUUACCCGCGAUUGGACGGAAAGACCCCGUAGAGCUUUACUGUAGCUUAGCAUUGAAUUUCGGUAUUGUCUGUACAGGAUAGGUGGGAGACUAGGAAGUCAGGGCGUCAGCCUUGAUGGAGUCAUCCUUGGGAUACCACCCUGACAGUACUGAGGUUCUAACUGGAUGCCAUGAAACUGGUGACAGGACAUUGUUAGGUGGGCAGUUUGACUGGGGCGGUCGCCUCCUAAAAAGUAACGGAGGCGCCCAAAGGUUCCCUCAGAACGGUCGGAAAUCGUUCGAAGAGUGCAAAGGCAGAAGGGAGCCUGACUGCGACACCCACAAGUGGAGCAGGGACGAAAGUCGGGCUUAGUGAUCCGGUGGUACCUCGUGGGAGGGCCAUCGCUCAACGGAUAAAAGCUACCUCGGGGAUAACAGGCUGAUCUCCCCCAAGAGUCCACAUCGACGGGGAGGUUUGGCACCUCGAUGUCGGCUCGUCGCAUCCUGGGGCUGAAGUAGGUCCCAAGGGUUGGGCUGUUCGCCCAUUAAAGCGGCACGCGAGCUGGGUUCAGAACGUCGUGAGACAGUUCGGUCCCUAUCCGUCGCGGGCGUAGGAAAUUUGAGAGGAGCUGUCCUUAGUACGAGAGGACCGGGAUGGACUGACCUCUGGUGUACCAGUUGUUCCGCCAGGAGCACAGCUGGGUAGCUAUGUCGGGAAGAGAUAAACGCUGAAAGCAUCUAAGCGUGAAGCUCACCUCAAGAUUAGAUUUCCCAUAGCGUAAGCUAGUAAGAUCCCUUGAAGAACACAAGGUUGAUAGGUCAGAGAUGUAAGCAUGGUAACAUGUUCAGUUGACUGAUACUAAUAGAUCGAGGGCUUGACCAA
rnacentral:rRNA from 1 species